rnacentral:rRNA from 1 species
AAUUACGUGCCAGCANCCGCGUUAAUACGUAGGGUGCAAGCGUUGUCCGGAAUUAUUGGGCGUAAAGAGUUCGUAGGCGUUUGNUCGCGUCGGCUGUGAAAACCCGGAGUUCAACUCCGGGCCUGCAGUCGAUACGGGCCGACUUGAGUGUUGCAGGGGAGACUGGAAUUCCUGGUGUAGCGGUGAAAUGCGCAGAUAUCAGGAGGAACACCGGUGGCGAAGGCGGNUUUCUGGGCAACAACUGACGCUGAGGAGCGAAAGCGUGGGGAGCGAACAGGAUUAGAUACCCUGGUAGUCCACGCCGUAAACGUUGGGCGCUAGGUGUGGGGGCCAUUACCACGGCAUCCGUGCCGCAGCUAACGCAUUAAGCGCCCCGC